rnacentral:lncRNA from 1 species
UUGUUUCCGUGCUUCUUCAUACCGUGGGCUCUUGUUCGAAGAUCCCUGUCCAUAUAUUAUACUCCAGAGGCAUUGUUAAAUCAUGUUUUUGAGGACCUUCGGAAGCCGAAAGCUGAAAGGGAAAUGUGUCCUUGGGCCAUUUCUAAGUAUUUUGGUGAUUUAGUGUCCAAUACAAGUGCUUAAGUGUAAAAUGGUGGACAAAGUACAAAUCAAGAAUAAAGGUAUGUUUCUCAGACUUAGUAUAUUGUUUAUGGACUAAUAUAUUGUGUCUAAGUGCUGGAAACAGAAAAAAUCGAAUUGGAAUUGUCUUGGCUCGAGCAGCCAAGACUCUGCUGAGUCUGGGAGCACCGGACUGUCCGGUGGUGCACCAGACAGUGUCCGGUGGUGCAUCGGACAGUGUCCGGUGCGCCAGGCUGGCUCGAGCGAAGUGGCCGCUCUCGGGAAUUCGCCGACGACGUACGACUAUAAUUCACCGGACUGUCUGGUGUGCACCGGACUGUCCGGUGAGCCAACGGUCGGCCGGGCCAACGGUAGGCCGCGAGAUCUACGCGGGACACGUGGCCGAGCCAACGGCUAGAAUGGGGCACCGGACUGUCCGGUGUGCACCGGACAUGUCCGGUGCGCCAACGGCUCUCUGGCGGCCAACGGUCGGCUGCGCCGUUCAAGGAAAGAAAUUGGGCACCGGACAGUGUCCGGUGUGCACCGGACUGUCCGGUGCACCAGUCGACAGAAGGCAAGAUCAGCCUUCCAGAUUUGCUCUCAAUGGCUCCUAGCUGCCUUGGGGCUAUAAAAGGGACCCCUAGGCGCAUGGAGGAGUAUAUCAAGCAUUCCUACAACAUUCCUAAGCACCAAGACAUCGAUUCCACGCAUUUGGUUCAUUGUGAUAGCAUCUAGAGCUCUUGUUGAGUUGUGAACUCAUUGAGUGGUGUUACGAGCUCUUGUUGCGACUUGUGUGCGUGCUGUUGCUCUGAUUUUGAGUCUUGUGUGCGUUGCUAGUUUCUCCCUUACUCCGUAUUUCUUUGUGAAUCUUAAGUGUAAGGGCGAGAGGCUCCAAGUUGUGGAGAUUCCUCGCAAAUGGGAUAUUGAAAGGCAAAGCAAAACACCGUGGUAUUCAAGUUGGUCUUUGGACCGCUUGAGAGGGGUUGAUUGCAACCCUCGUCCGUUGGGACGCCACAACGUGGAGUAGGCAAGUGUUGGUCUUGGCCGAACCACGGGAUAAACCACUGUGUCAUCUCUGUGUUUGAUCUCUUGUGGUAUUGUGUUUUGUUGAGACUCCUCUCUAGCCACUUGGCGAUUAUUGUGCUAACACUUAACAAGUUUUUGUGGCUAUAAGUUUAAGUUUCACAGGAUCACCUAUUCACCCCCCCUCUAGGUGCUCUCAAUUGGUAUCAGAGUCGUUCUCUUCACAAAGGGACUAACCGCCCGAAGAGAUGGAUCCUAAAGGGAAGGGAAUCGUGAUCAACGACAAGGAGAAGGAGUCCUUCGUCAACGAGCCAAGGGAUGACAAGUCCAACGACUCGGGCUCGGGCCACAAACGCAAAGAUGGGAAGAAGAAGAAGACAAGACGCAUCAAGGAGAUCGUCUACUACGACAGCGAUGAGUCUACUUCCUCCCAAAAGGACGACGACCACAACGAAUACGAGAGAAAGAAACCGGUCAAUUCGAACUUUUCUUUUGAUUACUCUCGUAUUCCUCAAAGUACUAAUGCUCAUUUAUUAUCUAUUCCACUUGGUAAACCUCCUCAUUUUGAUGGAGAGGACUACGGAUUUUGGAGUCACAAAAUGCGUAGUCACUUGUUCUCUCUCCAUCCUAGCAUAUGGGAGAUUGUAGAAAGUGGAAUGCACUUUGAUAGUACGGAUAGUCCCAUGUUUAUUAAUGAACAGAUUCAUAAAAAUGCACAAGCUACUACUGUGUUGCUAGCCUCUUUGUGCAGGGACGAGUACCAUAAGGUGAGCGGCUUGGACAAUGCCAAGCAGAUCUGGGACACCCUCAAGAUCUCUCAUGAGGGGAAUGAUGUCACCUUGCUCACCAAAAUGGAGUUGGUGGAGGGCGAGCUUGGACGGUUCGCGAUGAUAAGGGGCGAGGAGCCGACACAAACAUACAAUCGGCUCAAGACCCUCAUCAACAAAAUAAGGAGCUACGGGAGCACGCGAUGGACGGACCACGACGUCGUCCGCCUAAUGCUAAGGUCAUUUACCAUUCUUGAUCCUCAUUUGGUAAACAAUAUACGUGAAAAUCCCAGGUACACCAAGAUGUCGCCCGAAGAAGUUCUUGGGAAAUUCGUUAGCGGGCGAAUGAUGAUCAAGGAGGCGAGGUACGUGGACGACGCCUUGAAUGGUCCGAUCAACGAGCCGCAACCCCUUGCUCUCAAGGCAACACGAAGCAAGGAGGCGCUACCUAGCAAGGUGGCACAGAUUGAGGCGGCCGGACUUAAUGAUGAAGAGAUGGCUCUCAUCAUCAAAAGAUUCAAGACGGUGCUUAAAGGUCGCAAGGGACAGCCAAGCAAGACCAAAGCCAAGGGGAAGCGCUCAUGCUUCAAAUGCGGUAAGCUUGGUCAUUUUAUUGCUAACUGUCCCGACAAUGAUAGUGAUCAGGAUCAAGGGAACAAGAGGGAGAAAAAGAAGAACUAUAAGAAGGCAAAGGGCGAGGCUCAUCUUGGCAAGGAGUGGGAUUCAGACUGCUCUUCGUCCGACUCCGACAAUGAAGGACUCGCCGCCACCGCCUUCAACAAGUCAUCCCUCUUCCCCAACGAGCGACACACUUGCCUCGUGGCAAGGGAGAAGAAAGUAAGCACUCAUAAUACUAGUACUUAUGCUUCUUCAAGUGAGGAUGAGUCUAGUGAUGAUGAUGAGAUAGAUUACUCAUGCUUAUUCAAGGGAUUAGAUAGAACCAAGGUAGACAAAAUUAAUGAAUUGAUUGAUGCCUUGAAUGAUAGGAAUAUACUUUUAGAAAAGCAAGAGGAUUUGUUGUAUGAAGAACAUGAUAAAUUUGUAGAAGCUUAGAAAUCUCUUGCUCUAGAAAUUAAGAGAAAUGAAAUGCUCUCUAGUGAACUAUCUUCUUGUCAUGAAACUAUUGCUAAGUUAAAGAGUUUUAAUGAUGAUUUAAAUGCUAGACUAGAAGUAGCUAGUAAAUCUAAUUCUUGUGUAGAAAUUGUUGAAACUUGUAAUAGGUGUAAAGAUUUUGACAUUGAUGCUUGUAGUGAACACCUAGUUUCAAUUUCCAAACUUAAUGAUGAAUUGGCUAGUCUUAAUGCUCAACUUAAGACUAGCAAGAGUAAUUUUGAUAAGCUAAAAUUUGUAAGGGAUGCCUACACAAUUGGUAGACACCCCUCAAUUAAGGAUGGACUUGGCUACAAGAAGGAAGCCAAGAACUUGACAAGCCAUAAGGCUCCCAUCUCCGCCAAGGAGAAAGGGAAGGCCCCUAUGGCUAGUAGUGUGCAAAAGAACCAUGCCUUUAUGUACCAUGAUAGGAGACAAUCUAGAAAUGCUUAUAGGAGAUGUAACGCAUAUGAUGCUUUUGAUUCUCAUGACAUGUUUGCUUCUAGUUCUUCUUAUGUGCAUAAUAGAAAUGUUGGUAGGAGAAAUGUUGUUCAUAAUAUGCCUAGGAGAAAUGUUGUUAAUGUUCCUAGGAAAGUAAUGAAUGAACCCUCUACAAUUUAUCAUGCUUUAAAUGCUUCCUUUGCUAUUUGUAGAAAGGAUAGGAAAAUAGUUGCUAGGAAAGUUAGGGGCAAAAUGCAAGGGAGACAAAACUUGCAUUUGGGUCCCUAAGGAUAUUUGCACUAACCUUGUAGGACCCAACAUGAGUUGGGUACCUAAGACCUAAGCCUAAAUUUGCCUUGCAGGUUUAUGCAUCCGGGGGUUCAAGCUGGAUUAUCGACAGUGGAUGCACAAACCAUAUGACGGGGGAGAAGAAGAUGUUCACCUCCUACGUCAAGAAUAGGGAUUCCCAAGAUUCAAUUAUAUUCGGUGAUGGGAAUCAAGGCAAGGUAAAAGGGUUAGAUAAAAUUGCAAUUUCUAAUGAGCACUCUAUCUCCAAUGUGUUUUUAGUUGAGUCUCUUGGUUACAAUUUGCUAUCUGUUAGUCAACUAUGCAAUAUGGGAUAUAAUUGUCUUUUUACAAAUGUAGAUGUGUCUGUCUUUAGAAGAAGUGAUGGUUCACUAGCCUUUAAGGGUGUAUUAGACGGCAAGCUUUACUUAGUUGAUUUUGCAAAAGAAGAGGCCGGUCUAGAUGCAUGCUUAAUUGCUAAGACUAGCAUGGGCUGGCUGUGGCAUCGCCGCUUAGCACAUGUGGGGAUGAAGAAUCUUCACAAGCUUCUAAAGGGAGAACACGUGAUAGGUUUGACUAACGUACAAUUCGAAAAAGACAGACCUUGUGCAGCUUGUCAGGCAGGUAAACAGGUGGGAGGAGCGCAUCACAGCAAGAAUGUGAUGACCACAUCAAGACCCCUGGAGCUGCUACAUAUGGACCUCUUCGGACCUGUCGCCUAUCUAAGCAUAGGAGGAAGUAAGUAUGGUUUAGUUAUUGUUGAUGACUAUUCCCGCUUCACUUGGGUGUUCUUUUUGCAGGAUAAGUCUGAAACCCAAGGGACCCUCAAGCGCUUCCUCAGGAGAGCUCAAAAUGAGUUUGAGCUCAAGGUGAAGAAGAUAAGGAGCGACAACGGGUCCGAGUUCAAGAACCUUCAAGUGGAGGAGUUCCUUGAGGAGGAAGGGAUCAAGCACGAGUUCUCUGCUCCCUACACACCACAGCAAAAUGGUGUGGUAGAGAGGAAGAACAGGACGCUAAUCGAUAUGGCGAGGACGAUGCUUGGAGAAUUCAAGACCCCCGAGCGUUUUUGGUCGGAAGCCGUCAACACGGCUUGCCACGCCAUCAACAGGGUCUACCUUCACCGCCUCCUCAAGAAGACGUCGUAUGAGCUUCUAACCGGUAACAAACCCAAUGUAUCUUACUUUCGUGUAUUUGGGAGCAAAUGCUACAUUCUAGUGAAGAAGGGUAGAAAUUCUAAGUUUGCUCCCAAAGCCGUAGAAGGGUUUUUGUUAGGUUAUGACUCAAAUACAAAGGCGUAUAGAGUCUUCAACAAAUCAUUGGGAUUGGUUGAAGUCUCUAGCGACGUUGUAUUUGAUGAGACUAAUGGCUCUCCAAGAGAGCAAGCUGUUGAUCUUGAUGAUGUAGAUGAAGAAGAUGUUCCGACGGCCGCUAUACGAACCAUGGCGAUGGUGAUAUACGACCACAGGAACAAAAGGAGCAAGAUCAACCUUCUUCCUCAACUUUGAUGCAUUCCCCAACUCAAGACGAUGAACAGGUUCAUCAACGAGAGGCGUGUGAUCAAGGGGGAGCACAAGACGAUCAUGUGAUGGAGGAAGAAGCGCAACCGGCACCACCAACCCAAGUUCGAGCGAUGAUUCAAAGGGAUCAUCCCGUCGACCAAAUUCUGGGUGAUAUUGGCAAGGGAGUAACUACUCGAUCUCGAUUAGUUAAUUUUUGUGAGCAUUACUCCUUUGUCUCUUCUAUUGAGCCUUUCAGGGUAGAAGAGGCCUUGCUAGAUCCGGACUGGGUGUUAGCCAUGCAGGAGGAACUCAACAACUUCAAGCGCAAUGAAGUUUGGACACUGGUGCCUCGUCCCAAGCAAAACGUUGUGGGAACCAAGUGGGUAUUCCGCAACAAACAGGACGAGCACGGGGUGGUGACGAGGAACAAGGCUCGACUUGUGGCAAAAGGUUAUGCCCAAGUCGCAGGUUUGGACUUUGAGGAGACGUUUGCUCCUGUGGCUAGGCUAGAGUCAAUUCGUAUCUUGCUAGCAUAUGCCGCUCACCAUUCUUUCAGGUUGUUCCAAAUGGAUGUGAAGAGCGCUUUCCUCAACGGGCCAAUCAAGGAGGAGGUGUACGUGGAGCAACCCCCUGGCUUCGAGGAUGAACGGUACCCGGACCACGUGUGUAAGCUCUCUAAGGCGCUCUAUGGACUUAAGCAAGCCCCAAGAGCAUGGUAUGAAUGCCUUAGAGACUUUCUAAUUGUUAAUGCUUUCAAGGUUGGGAAAGCCGAUCCAACUCUUUUUACUAAGACAUGUGAUGGUGAUUUGUUUGUGUGCCAAAUUUAUGUCGAUGACAUAAUAUUUGGUUCUACUAACCAAAAGUCUUGUGAAGAGUUUAGCAGGGUGAUGACGCAGAAAUUCGAGAUGUCGAUGAUGGGCGAGUUGAACUACUUCCUUGGGUUCCAAGUGAAGCAACUCAAAGAUGGCACCUUCAUCUCCCAAACGAAGUACACGCAAGAUCUGCUAAAGCGGUUUGGGAUGAAGGACGCCAAGCCCGCAAAGACUCCGAUGGGGACCGACGGACACACCGACCUCAACAAAGGAGGUAAGUCCGUUGAUCAAAAAGCAUACCGGUCAUUGAUAGGGUCUUUACUUUAUUUAUGUGCUAGUAGACCGGAUAUUAUGCUUAGCGUAUGCAUGUGUGCUAGAUUUCAAUCCGAUCCUAAGGAGUGUCACUUAGUGGCGGUGAAGCGAAUUCUUAGAUAUUUGGUUGCUACGCCCUGCUUCGGGCUCUGGUAUCCAAAGGGGUCUACCUUUGACUUGGUUGGAUACUCAGAUUCCGACUAUGCUGGAUGUAAGGUCGAUAGGAAGAGUACAUCAGGGACGUGCCAAUUCUUAGGAAGGUCCCUGGUGUCGUGGAACUCUAAGAAACAAACCUCCGUUGCCCUAUCCACCGCUGAGGCCGAGUAUGUUGCCGCAGGACAGUGUUGCGCGCAGCUACUUUGGAUGAGGCAAACCCUUUGGGACUUUGGCUACAAUCUGAGCAAAGUCCCACUCCUAUGUGACAAUGAGAGUGCUAUCCGCAUGGCGGAAAAUCCUGUUGAACACAGCCGCACAAAGCACAUUGACAUCCAGCAUCACUUUUUGAGACCACCAGCAAAAGGGAGAUAUCGAAGUGUUUCAUGUUAGCACCGAGAACCAGCUAGCCGAUAUCUUUACCAAGCCUCUAGAUGAGAAGACCUUUUGCAGGCUGCGUAGUGAGCUAAAUGUCUUAGAUUCGCGGAACUUGGAUUGAAUUGUAGCAUACAUGUAUUUAUGCUCUUGAUCAUGUUACUUUUUGCAUUUUGUUGUUUAGUAUGGUGCUCAAGUUGUACAAACACUCCCUGGACCUCACAAGUCCGUUGCAAAGUGAUGCACAGUUUUAGGGGGAGAUGUGUUACAACUUGACCCUUUGAGACUAACCAUAUGCUUGAGUUUGCGUGUUUUAGUCUCGAAGGAGAAUUAAAAGGGACAAGGUGGACUUGGACCAUGUAAGACUUCCACUGCACUCCGAUGAAAAGAGUAACUUUUCCAAGUUCAUCUUUUAACUCUUAUUGCCUUUGUACUCUUAUUUGAAGAUGUUGGUGAGGCAAUGGGGUUAAAGGGCCAAGAUUGAUCCCGUUUUGGUGUUUGAUGCCAAAGGGGGAGAAAAUAAAGGCCAAAGCGAUAAAUGGAUCAGCUACCACUUGAGAUAUUUUGAAAAUAGUAGAAUAGAGCGAUCAGCUACCACUUGAGAUAUUUUGAAAAUAGUAGAAUAGAGCUUUUUGUUUGUCAAAACUCUUUUAUUGUCUAUCGUGUCAAAAGUUGGCUUCUUGUGGGGAGAAAUGCUGAUUAUGGGAAAAAGGGGGAGUUUUUGGAAUCUUGAAUCAAAUACUCUUGAAAUGACUCUCUUUAUGCCUUAACAUGUGUGUUUGACUUAGAGAUAGAAAUUUGAGUUUUGAUUUGCAAAAACAAACCAAGUGGUGGCAAAGGAUGAUCCAUAUAUGCCAAAAUUGAACCAAAACAAUUUUGAGUUCUUGUUUGAAAUGUUUUUGUAUUUGUUCUACUUGCUUUAUGUUGUGUUGGCAUAAAUCACCAAAAAGGGGGAGAUUGAAAGGGAAAUGUGCCCUUGGGCCAUUUCUAAGUAUUUUGGUGAUUUAGUGUCCAAUACAAGUGCUUAAGUGUAAAAUGGUGGACAAAGUACAAAUCAAGAAUAAAGGUAUGUUUCUCAGACUUAGUAUAUUGUUUAUGGACUAAUAUAUUGUGUCUAAGUGCUGGAAACAGAAAAAAUCGAAUUGGAAUUGUCUUGGCUCGAGCAGCCAAGACUCUGCUGAGUCUGGGAGCACCGGACUGUCCGGUGGUGCACCGGACAGUGUCCGGUGCGCCAGGCUGGCUCGAGCGAAGUGGCCGCUCUCGGGAAUUCGCCGACGACGUACGGCUAUAAUUCACCGGACUGUUCGGUGUGCACCGGACUGUCCGGUGAGCCAACGGUCGGCCGGGCCAACGGUAGGCCGCGAGAUCUACGCGGGACACGUGGCCGAGCCAACGGCUAGAAUGGGGCACCGGACUGUCCGGUGUGCACCGGACAUGUUCGGUGCGCCAACGGCUCUCUGGCGGCCAACGGUCGGCUGCACCGUUCAAGGAAAGAAAUCGGGCACCGGACAGUGUCCGGUGUGCACCGGACUGUCCGGUGCACCAGUCGACAGAAGGCAAGAUCAGCCUUCCAGAUUUGCUCUCAACGGCUCCUAGCUGCCUUGGGGCUAUAAAAGGGACCCCUAGGCGCAUGGAGGAGUAUAUCAAGCAUUCCUACAACAUUCCUAAGCACCAAGACAUCGAUUCCACGCAUUUGGUUCAUUGUGAUAGCAUCUAGAGCUCUUGUUGAGUUGUGAACUCAUUGAGUGGUGUUACGAGCUCUUGUUGCGACUUGUGUGCGUGCUGUUGCUCUGAUUUUGAGUCUUGUGUGUGUUGCUAGUUUCUCCCUUACUCCGUAUUUCUUUGUGAAUCUUAAGUGUAAGGGCGAGAGGCUCCAAGUUGUGGAGAUUCCUCGCAAACGGGAUAUUGAAAGGCAAAGCAAAACACCGUGGUAUUCAAGUUGGUCUUUGGACUGCUUGAGAGGGGUUGAUUGCAACCCUCGUCCGUUGGGACGCCACAACGUGGAGUAGGCAAGUGUUGGUCUUGGCCGAACCACGGGAUAAACCACUGUGUCAUCUCUGUGUUUGAUCUCUUGUGGUAUUGUGUUUUGUUGAGACUCCUCUCUAGCCACUUGGCGAUUAUUGUGCUAACACUUAACAAGUUUUUGUGGCUAUAAGUUUAAGUUUCACAGGAUCACCUAUUCACCCCCCCUCUAGGUGCUCUCAAAAGCCCCCAACAUAACCUAUGCAAGUUAGCAAAUAUCAACACGUUAAAUACAAAUAUCAAAAAGUAUACAAGUGUAUAAAUUCAUCGAGGUACCUUUUCUUUCGAGCAAAUACAUUGUGUUCACAAGCUGACUAUUGUCUGAAAAAUCGAAAGAUCACUACACGGAAGCAUCUCUCGUUCAUCAUCAUGGUACCUUUUCUUUCGAGCAAAUACAUUAUGUUCUUCUGCAAAGUAACAACUUGUGAAGUGUGCUACCUCCUUUAGUUUAAAUUGUUCCGCAAUACAUCCUUCAACUCUUGAUUUAUUGCCCACCAUUGCUCUAAGCUUCUUUAAUGCUCUUUCUAUAUAGAGAUGGCAAUGGGUACCCGAAACCCGAAUACCCGACGGGUUUUACCCGAUAUGAAGGCGGGUACGAGAUGAUUUCUCUACCCGCGGGUACGUUAAUGGGUAAAAACCUUUACCCAUUGGGUAGACGGGUACGAGUAUGGGUUGGUACUACCCAUACCCGUCUACCCGUGGGUAAAAUAUACCCGCAUCAAUAGCACUAUAAACAUCUAAUAGAGUCCAACUUAACUAGAAUAAAACCCUUCUCUAGUUAUCAUUUGUCUAGAUACCAAGUUAUGUAAUCAUAUGAGUUGUUAUAUGUGAAAUUGAAGUUGUUUUUAUAUGUUUAUUUAAUAUUUUGAGUGAUUCGUAUAUUGGAAUUCAAUUCUUUCCUAGCGGGUACGGGUUACCCAACGGGUAAAAAUACCCGCGCGGGUACGGGUAUGGGUAAGAUUUUAUGCCCGCGAGUAUAUAUGGGUAACCCGAUGGGUAAAAUUUUUUUUGAUGGGUACGGGUAUGGAAUGGUACUACCCGACGGGUAUGUACCCAUUGCCAUCCCUAUUUCUAUAUGAAACAUCCACCUGUAUUGAACAGGACCACCGACCUUAGCCUCAUAUGGAAGAUGUAUAAAGAGAUGCCACAUAGGAUUGAAGAAACCCGGUGGAAAUAUUUUUUCCAAUUUGCACAAAAGCACCGGUGCCUCUUUCUCUAGCUGUUCCAUCACAUCUCUUUUGAUUUCUUUAGCACACAACUGUCUAUAGAAAUAGCUAACUUCAGCUAACGUUUUCCACAUAGCUUCGGAAAUGUACCCACGAAACAUUAGAGGCAUGAGCCUUUCCAUAAUUAUGUGGAAGUCAUGGCUCUUCAGUCCAUUCAUCUUCAUUGUCUUCAAGUUCAUAGAUCUUCUAAAACCAGCAGCAUAACCAUCGAGGAAUUUAAUAUCUAUAGGUAAGUAGUAAAACUAUAUAUAUACAUAAAUAACUAUAUAUAUAUACAUAAAUAACAUUAAAUUUAUCAAUAUUGAAACCUUCAUACAACCUAAUAUUAUAAGUUAAAUCUAAUCAAUAAAUAACAUCAAAUUUAACAAUUUAAUAGCAUAAGUUAAAUCUAUUAUAAUAAUAGAAUUAAUACUUAUACCUAACAUCAAGGCACACAUGUGAUAUUAAACUAACUCUAAUCACACUCUAAUCAUAUGUGAUAUUAAACUAACUCUAAUCACACCCUAAACUAACUCUAAUCACAUAAAAGUUAACUCCCGUCGGCCAUAAAAAACCAACGAAAAUAAACAUUUAUACACAUAUUUAACAAUUACACUCGCAUUUACAUUCAAUAAUUCAAAAAUUUAUAUACCUCAACAGUGCGGGGCGGCGGCGCUCGGGGAGGCGGUUGGGGGCGGCGACGUUGGGGGCGAGCCAGGCAGCGCUACGGGGCGGUGGCUUUUGGGGCGCUCCGGGACACGGCGCUGGGGGCGAGCCGGGCACGCUCCGGGGCGGUGGCAUUGGGAGCGACGGGCGGCAGGUGGCGCGUUGGAGGCGACGACGUUGGGGGCGGCGGGGGGGGGGGGGUCGGCGCGGGGGGCGCUGGAGGCCGGUGGUCGGCGAUGGGCGGCGGUCGACGAUGGGCGCGGUGACGACAUCGGUUUAGAGAGAGAGAGAGAGGAGAAUGAGCCGCGCGGGUUGUCCGCCGGCCUUCCAUAAAGCAAUAAUCCCCGUCGAUUGGCGUCAGGGCCAACAGGAGUUAACUUAAGGCCCGUCGGCUGGCGUCUGGGCCGACGGGAGUUAGCUAAUUCCUGUCGGCUAGCGCCAGGGCCGACGAGAGUUAACUUAAGGCCCAUCGGCUGCUUUAUAGCCGACGAGAGUUAACUAAUUCACGUCGGCCUUUGCUCGGGCCGACGGGAAUCUUCAGUAUUCCUGUAGUGGAUGUUGCUCCGAAGCUACGCGCAAGGGAGCUACGACUCAAUGGCGGAAAAAGGAACCGACUUAAAGGGGAAAAUGCCAUCUAGUCCCCGUUGGGUUGUCCAUAAGUCAAUAGUAAAUAUGAAGGGCAUGAAUGUAAAUUUACAUAGGCUACGCCCUGUGCCUAUAAAUAGAUGAACAUUCACGCUGACUUGUAGUGGCUUGUGCGUCACGAUUGUACUUUUACCUUCUGUCAAGCCGAAGGUAGGAAUGUAAUCCUGUGUUGUUCUUAUUCAUUCAUGAUUAUAUAAUAAAAGAUAUAUUAUGAUAGCAUAUGAUUAUCCAUGUUGUUUCCCAUGUUUCAUAUGCUUUAUCUUUCAUUGAUAUAUGUUGUGAUGAUGAAGGUAAUAAGUCCUUCAUAACCUUCGUCCGAAGAUCGUUACAUCCUUAGGGGAAUAAUGCUUCGAAGGACGAAGGACAUUAACCAUUAACCUAUUUUUGUGUUGGCUUGUUCUUAAUUCAUAGCAUUUGAGAACAAAUCCCCAACAAAUAAUAGUGCAUGAUCAUAGUCCGUGUGUAUCAUUAAUCCCAAAACCAAGUAGAGCAAUAACAAUUCUACCCAAUAAUUCAUUUAUAAGCAAGACAUACGGUAAACAAGACUACAUAAUCUAUUAGGUCCCAUCAAUUUAACCUAACAUUGAGUGCAUGGAGAGAACAUUAAUAUUGUUAGGUCAAGAAUGUGAUCAAGGACACACUUGUCUUUUUUGGUACAACUCCAGAUACUUAUCCACUUAGGGUUUAGGUUCCUCGUAACCUCACUUUUCUAUUCGCAACAAAGCAUACAAAUAGGCAAAUAAUAAAUAAAAAUAACUUUACACCAAACAUGGAAACAAAUUACAUAAUAUUAUUCUAUGUGUCAAGAUGAAUCCAUAUAUUCAAAAACCACUGAAAUCGGAGUUAAAACAAGAGAGUUAUGAAUUAACUAAGUUCCUAGAACUAUUUUUAUAAUUAAAAUCGAUUUCGAAAUUAAUUUUAUAAUUAUCAAAAAACUCUAGAGUGCGGGUACUAAAACCAAAGAUUGUAGGGUUGUUUUUAUAAAUUAUAAAGUUCUUUCUAUAGCUGCGGACUGUAGGUUAUUUAUAAACAUGACAGACACUCUUUAGCAAAUCUGGCUCAGCCGAAGGGGUAUCAUCGAAGCUAAGACGUACGAUCCCCAUCUGGAGGUCCAGAUUAGAUCGAUCUUGCGGCUUUUGAGGUGCGUGCACCAGAACCGCACAUAUCAAGGUCAACGGUCAGCACUUAAUGAAGCGAAGGGGUAUUCCUAGCUUCUAAUCCUAUCCCUCCAUCUGAGAACCAAUGGCUAGGGCUCCCCGCUGUUGUCGACGGCGAGGGGAGUAGAGCUCAUGCGCCCUCCGCAGUGGCGCCUUGUCGGAGUGCAUUGAACCCAGCAUUCCGGUGCUCCCAACUCCUCUCUAUAGCUGCUACACAAGGCAGAGAUCAUAGCGAAUAUGUUUAGGGGAAACUCACCAGCGAUUAAAGGCGCCGAUGAAGCUGUCCACACACCAUAGCGGACCUACGACGGAGAGAUGGCUUCGGCGAGCAAUUCGCCGAGCACCGAGGAUCCUCCCUGCCUGAAGAGUGAAGACACCACAACGAGCUUCGACUCAUGCUGGCGAUUUCCCCCGACUUCAUCUUGGAGUCCGAGCGACAUCGCAUGCACGGGGCGACGACGACAGCCUCUUCUCUCGCUCCGGCACGGCUCUCCCUCUUUCUUAGUUUGGUGACCUCGUCACUUUGGUUUGGG